GGCUCAGGAAAGAGCGGCCCCAGAGAAUCCUAAUUCUGUAUGAGAAAAACUUCUAAGGUUACCUUCUUUUCCAUUCAGCCAUUGCCCUCAGGAUCACCCUGGGAGAGUGAAGGCGUCCCCCAGAGACAGAGUGCCUGCUCCCCUCAUAGGACCCAUGGAACAGCCUCCUCAGCCCCAGCCUAUGUUUGAGACCCUCCCCCAUGCCCAUCUGGAUAGCAGGGACCAUCGUUCAAUCACUCAAGUCUUGUGUCCAAGAAGCCAACUCGGAUGCACGCACACCUCUGCACAUCUUCAAGGAUGGACAGCAAACCAAUUCCUGCCACCUCGCACCUACUAGCUCCUCCCUAAACCAGAAAUGGGAAAGUCAUUUUUGAACCCCUCUCUCCCUCAUGUUCUCAUAUUGAACUGAUUUUAACUAAAUCCUGUCUAUCUCUCCUUCCCAGAUUAAAAAAAAAUAAUAUUUUUUUGUGUGUGGGA